CGGGAUGUAGCGCAGCCCGGCUAGCGUACCUGAAUGGGGUUCAGGUGGUCGCAGGUUCAAAUCCUGUCAUCCCGACCA
rnacentral:tRNA from 1 species